UCCAGACUCCUACGGGAGGCAGCAGUGGGGGAUAUUGCACAAUGGGGGAAACCCUGAUGCAGCGACGCCGCGUGAGUGAAGAAGUAUUUCGGUAUGUAAAGCUCUCUCAGCAGGGAAGAAGCAAGACGGUACCUGACUAAGAAGCCCCGGCUAACUACGUGCCAGCAGCCGCGGUAAUACGUAGGGGGCGAGCGUUAUCCGGAUUCACUGGGUGUAAAGGGAGCGUAGACGGCCAUGCAAGCCAGGGGUGAAAGCCCGGGGCCCAACCCCGGGACUGCCCUUGGAACUGCAUGGCUGGAGUGCGGGAGGGGCAGGCGGAAUUCCUAGUGUAGCGGUGAAAUGCGUAGAUAUUAGGAGGAACACCAGUGGCGAAGGCGGCCUACUGGACGGUGACUGACGCUGAGGCUCGAAAGCGUGGGGAGCAAACAGGAUUAGAUACCCGUGUACA
rnacentral:rRNA from 1 species